rnacentral:rRNA from 1 species
AUUGAACGCUGGCGGCAUGCUUUACACAUGCAAGUCGAACGGGGUGGGGGGCAACCUUCAUUCAGUGGCGAACGGGUGAGUAAUGCAUCGGAACGUAUCCGUAGUGGGGGACAACGCCGCGAAAGCGGCGCUAAUACCGCAUAUGCUCUACGGAGGAAAGUGGGGGACCUGAAAGGGCCUCACGCUAUGGGAGCGGCCGAUGUCCGAUUAGCUAGUUGGUGGGGUAAUGGCCCACCAAGGCGACGAUCGGUAGCUGGUCUGAGAGGAUGAUCAGCCACACUGGGACUGAGACACGGCCCAGACUCCUACGGGAGGCAGCAGUGGGGAAUUUUGGACAAUGGGGGCAACCCUGAUCCAGCCAUGCCGCGUGCGGGAAGAAGGCCUUCGGGUUGUAAACCGCUUUUAGCCGGGAAGAAAAGGCGUCGCCUAAUACGCGGCGUUCUUGACGGCACCGGCGGAAUAAGCACCGGCUAACUACGUGCCAGCCGCCGCAGUAAAAC